rnacentral:sRNA from 1 species
GCCCAAUUUCGCACGUGCCCGUGGUCGUGUGUCAGUCGGUAGGUAUCCGGACAAGAGGCCGGACAGCCGCCAAGGGAUGAAGAGCCGAGGGUCUCCAAGCGUUCGCGCAGCGAGGCCAGCAUCUCUCUCAAGAGAUGCCGUUGAAGGUGGCUUCCUCUCUUGCAACCGUGACUGACAGCCGGAGGCGAACCGGCGCACCUCGUUCUCAACGAGGGACGCGACUUAAAGCAACGACGGAGCGGGCUUUU